GAAGCACCUCAAAGAAAUGCGCAUUCACAGUUUUAUGCAGUCGCAUGCCACGAUACUGAAACUGUUUUAAUAAAUUUACAGUUUAUAAUGGGGAAUCCAUUGAUACAGUAUUUGUUGCAAUAUAUACAUAUGACUAAAUAACCCAAUUUUUAUUUGAGAACAAUUUAGCCUAGUUUCUGUACCAACAUUUUUCGAAUAUAUCUGUCAAUCAAUUGGAUCAAUUUUUAAAACAGCCUGUAUAACCAGGAUUUAGAGAACAAAUUUAAAAAUAGGUGGAUGGUAACGACGUUUUGUUAGCGCGAAAACCAAUUGGAAUUGAAUUUAUAAGAUGCGUAAACAACCAAAUUCAUUUUUCAAUACAAAGGACAUGUCGUAAGCAACUUUGAUGGUUGGCAACUGGACGUUAUUCGCGUUUGCUGGCAUUGUGUUUUUCGACUCAUAAUUAUCGCCUCUAAUAUGUAAUGAUGUUUUUGAUGGAUUCGGCAAUCGGCCAAAUACGUUUCUUACAGUUUCUCUAGAUAAUAAUGCUGCACUGUAUUUCGGACUUCAACAAAGUAAAGGUGGUAGCGCAUGCUAUAAGCUCACGUACGUCGGUUCAGCCAGAAUACGAUAAAAAUUCCUAGCAGGCGGAAAAUUUACACGGUUAGGGUUUCCUCUCGGUCCGGAAACAUAUUAGAUGAGAACGCACGUACAUCUUUUCAUCUUACGGACUCCAUUGCAGACAGGAUAAAGAAAUCUGUAGUUAUCUCUGUUGGCUGUCACAUUACUAAGUUAUGAAAGAGCUUUCAGCACUAUGCAUGUAGUUGCUAAUGGAUUAACAGUGUUGUGUAACACUUACAUGCUUAGGGAAUAAAUCAGAGGAAUGUGCUGCAGACUGUUAAUGAUAAUGAAGAAGUUGAUGAUAAGUCAAAUAACUCCGAGAUCACCGCCAAUAUGCAACCUACAUAUAGUGGAUAUAAAUAGAAUGAUGAGAAAUAUUGCUAAAAGAUAGUCAAGUCAUGCCCAUAGAAAAGACAGUUAAUUUUUAUGGAAAACUGAUUAAGUGUUUGGAUUGUGAUAAGAUAGGUUUUCACACGUUUCAACUGAAACACAAAUGUGCUUACACAGAAGCAAUAAAAAAUUGAAAAUAUUCUAGGCCUACUCUUGAUAUUAGAUCAGAAUUGAAGUUGUAGCGACAUUAAUUAUGCAACAUCACUAACGUUGGAAGUGGGGUAAUCAAGGAGAUUUUAGCUAUAUUUUAUAUUAAUUUAAGCCCUAAAGCAAACAACGACGUCAUAGGUUUCAAUUUUUUGACCACACCAAGAUCUAUAGCACGAACAACACCUCGUUCCUCAAAAUUCUAAUUCUCCACAAAUUAGUUAUGAGAACGACGCUUUUUCCAUCUUCCCAA